rnacentral:tRNA from 1 species
GUUCUUAUAGUUGAAAUACAACNAUGGUUUUUCAUAUCAUUAGU